UGCGAGUCGACACAGCAAUGUGUGGCAUACGGCUCAGUAACACGUAGUCAACAUGCCCAGGGGACGUGGAUAACCUCGGGAAACUGAGGAUAAACCGCGAUAGGUCACUACUUCUGGAAUGGGUAAUGACCCAAACCUAUAUGGCCCCUGGAUUGGACUGCGGCCGAUCAGGCUGUUGGUGAGGUAAUGGCCCACCAAACCUGUAACCGGUACGGGCUCUGAGAGGAGGAGCCCGGAGAUGGGCACUGAGACAAGGGCCCAGGCCCUAUGGGGCGCAGCAGGCGCGAAACCUCUGCAAUAGGCGAAAGCUUGACAGGGUUACUCUGAGUGAUUUCCGUUAAGGAGAUCUUUUGGCACCUCUAAAAAUGGUGCAGAAUAAGGGGUGGGCAAGUCUGGUGUCAGCCGCCGCGGUAAUACCAGCACCCCGAGUGGUCGGGACGUUUAUUGGGCCUAAAGCAUCCGUAGCCGGUUCUACAAGUCUUCCGUUAAAUCCACCUGCUCAACAGAUGGGCUGCGGAAGAUACUAUGGAGCUAGGAGGCGGGAGAGGCAAGCGGUACUCGAUGGGUAGGGGUAAAAUCCGUUGAUCCAUUGAAGACCACCAGUGGCGAAGGCGGCUUGCCAGAACGCGCUCGACGGUGAGGGAUGAAAGCUGGGGGAGCAAACCGGAUUAGAUACCCGGGUAGUCCCAGCUGUAAACGAUGCAGACUCGGUGAUGAGUUGGCUUUAUGCCAACUCAGUGCCGCAGGGAAGCCGUUAAGUUUGCCGCCUGGGGAGUACGGUCGCAAGACUGAAACUUAAAGGAAUUGGCGGGGAGCA
rnacentral:rRNA from 1 species